CUCAUUAUAGGUGCUUGUUAGACACUAUAUGGUUGCUGGGAUUUGAACUCAGGACCUUCUGAAGAGCAGUAAGUGCUCUUACCUGCUGAGCCAUCUCACCAGCCCAGAUUAUCUUUUUAAUAAUACAGCAAAGAUACAAAGAAUUGUUCUAAUAAAGAAACAAAAUAUAAAGGAAAAUUCACGUUUAGUCCUGUCAGUAUUGCUAAUCCUGUAAUCUAUUAAUGACAGAAACUAAUUACUUCCUAACUCAGGAAACAUUAAAUUUAACUACUCUCAGAAGCUAUGCUAGUUUUUAAAAAAAAAAAAAGCUAUUUUCCAUUAGAAAAAUAUGUCAGGUUAGCAAUACAAUAGUAGUGAUACAUAAUCAUACCAGUUUUAAAGUGUUAUCAGUUGUUGGAUUAUGAAUAAUAUAAAUAUGGGAGUUGAUACUAGAGAAGGGGAAAGAGUCAGAAUAUUUUUAUUAUUGAGGAAGUUUGAAUCCGUGAUAUGGCAAGUGAUGAGAUUUUUUUAUACUUAGUAAAAAUGUAAUUGUGUGAUAGAUAAGCUGAAAUUUUGUUUUUAAUUACUUGUGAUAUAAAUUUCUUUAUAGUAUCAACUCAUGUCUUUUGUGCUACCCCAGAGGAAAAUUUACCUAUCUUAAGUCUUUUUAGGGAGCUGAAGAUAGCUCAGCAAUUAAAAACACUGGUUGCUCUUCCAGAGGUCCCAGGUUCUAGUCCCUAUUCAGAUACAUACACAGGUAAAACACCAGCCCAAAAUGAAUGAAUGAAUGAAUGAGAGAAAACUUGUUUAAAAAAUUAGUUUCUUUAAAGGAAAAUGUUUCCUGGGAGAAAAUAUAUGCCACAAGUGAAAAUUGGUUGCUUGAUUUGGAGUUAACUAGUAAUGAAUUUGCCAGCUCCUGUCGUAAUUGGGGGCAAAGACGAAUGCCUUAUGCCUACUGAUAGGAUGACUAUUGACUUAGUAAGUAUAUGAAGUCUGUGUUCUGAAGGUUAUAUAUUACUUUAUAAUUCAGAAGUUCAUUGCAUUCUCUAACUUUUUUUAGUUAUUGAAGUUUUGAGAAUUACAAAGUUUAUUCUUUGACCACAAAGCCUUCAAUAUUUGAUAUGUAUAAGUGUUUAAUAGAAUGAUUAUGCUGAACCUGUGCCUUUACACUUAAGCCAUGAUGAUAUUUCUAUUAACAAAAUAAUAACCAUGGAAUUUAUUAAGUUAUAUUACAAAACAUGAACUAUUUUUGUUUCCCACUUUGAGCAACUUUCACCUUCUAAUUAGAUUCAGUUACUAGAAUUUACAUAUGAAGUUACUUUGGAUCUUAGAAAAGUUAAAAUUGACCAGAAAUGUAACUCAGUUAGUCCAGUGCUUCCCUAAAAAGUGUGACACUCUGGGUUUGAUGUCCUGCAACAAGUUGACUGGGUGCAGUGGUGCAUACCUGCAGUCCUAGAGACGGGGUGGAGGGCAGGAGACAGGACGACUAAGGUCAUCCUUGACAGUUGAGUGAAAUUCAGGACAGCCCUGCUUAUAUGAUCCCUUGUGUGAAUGGGGGGUGAGGGAGAGGGGGAAUGGGGGUCAGUGAAAUUAAAACAGUUAUACCAGGGUCUGAAUUUUGGUGGGGUGUAUAUUUAUUUUCUUUGUCUGAAACAGCUUAUUUCUGAAACCCUGCCUGGCCUUGAAUCUGAAGUAAUCCUUCUGCCUCCAUCUCUAGAGUGCCAAAAUUAUAGGCAUGUUCUACUCACAACACUUAGCCACCUACCUGGUUUGAGUAGGAAUUCAAAUUUGCAAAUAUAAUGAUCUGAUACAAUGUGAUUUUUCACUUUUAAGCAUAAAUGCACUGGGAUAAUAUCCUCCGAACAUUUAGUGUGAUCAUUGUUGUCUUCUUUUCUGAAAUUUGAACUUUUUAAAAUACAUAGGAGUGUUUUGCCUUCAUGUAUGUCUGUGCGAUACAUGCUGGAGGAAGUGCUAAGGCUCCAUAUAGGUGCUGGGAAUUGAACCUGGGACUUUUACAACAACAAAAUGCUCUUAACCACUGAGCUAAUAACUCUGCAGCCCUGAAACUUGAAUGUCAAAGAUUUCCAUGUUAAAAAUGAGCAAAUUGAAUACAGAAUUGAAAUACAAAUUCAGUCGUCAGUUCAUACCUGACUUGGUCUUAACUACCAGUUUAGUUUUCCUUUGAUAGCCAGUAAAUAAAUUUUGGGUGUUUUGUUUUGUUAUUGUUGUUAGAACACUUUAUUUUUCAAAUAUUACAUAAGCUCAUUUUCUUAGAGAAAAAUCAAAUAUGGAAAUGGAAUUUUUAAGUAUUUAGUAGUAUGCACUACAAAUGAUUUGUCACAUUUCACAUAUCAAAUUUUAGAACUAGGGUUUUAAAAUGUUUAGAGAAGAAACAGUUCCAAAGACUUUAUAGUGGCAUAUUGCCACAUCAAAGAUAGUAUUAACAUACCCAGCUUUUAACUUCCCAAAUUUUGUUGCAGUAUUUCAUACCUUUAGCUUUGCUAUUUAAGUAGGAUUUUUUUGUGCCCUGGGAUUUGUUGCCCUGUUAUCAGAAUUUAAACCUGGUAGUGUUUUCUCCAUGUUCUUAGACAACUUCAUAAGAUGGCUCUGGUUCUGAAGCAUCCUCCAAAGGCUUAUAUGCAUGUUAAUGGUUCAUUUGCAGAUCACAGAAACCAGGGUCAGUGUACUAGGAAUAACAGCCAUGGGAAACACUCAAAGGAGAGAAUGUCAGGAUUCUGUAUUCUGUCAUUGUGAUCCAACAAAUUACCAGUUGCUUAUUAUUCAAUCAAAAACUGUCCCAUUAUGCUGAUGCAGUCAAGACGAUGAUAUAGCUUAAGCAACGUGCCUAUAAAUAUUGUUUUCUUAUACGAAGAAUAUUAAUUUCAGCUUUAUCCUAUGACUUUGCUUUGAAAGGUGUGCUGCUCUUAAUAAGAAGGAGCCUCUUACCCUUUCAGAUUGAAGGUUCAUAAUGAAUUCUACCCAAUAUCGUGUGUUGUGGAAAUCCUAAAAGUAUUUCAGUUACUUUUUAAGGACUCGUCUUCAAAAGAACCACUACUCAAUUCUAAUUUAAAGGUAAAAAUUAAGUAAGUUUUAACUAAUUGAUUUAAUUAAUUAUAAGAUAAGAGUACGUUUUAGGGGCAGUCACUUUUUUCUGAUGGGGU